rfam:Daphnia pulex DAPPTscaffold_4150_Cont15421, whole genome shotgun sequence.
AUCCAUAUGGUCUAGUGGCUAGGAUAUCUGGCUCUCACCCAGGAAGCUCGGGUUCGAUUCCCGGUAUGGGAA